UACGUAGGGUGCAAGCGUUGUCCGGAAUCAUUGGGCGUAAAGCGCGCGUAGGCGGCCCGAUAAGUCCGCUGUAAAAGUCAACGGCUCAACUGUUGAAAGUCGGUGGAUACUGUCGGGCUAGAGUACAGAAGAGGCAAGUGGAAUUCCUGGUGUAGCGGUGGAAUGCGCAGAUAUCAGGAGGAACACCUAUAGCGAAGGCAGCUUGCUGGGACGUUACUGACGCUAAGGCGCGAAAGCGUGGGGAGCGAACAGG
rnacentral:rRNA from 1 species